rnacentral:sRNA from 1 species
AAAUUUUGAGAUGAAUUUAACCUGGUGUAGGUACCGCCUUUGGGAAAUAUCAGAUAUAGAGAUUUUUGUGGGUUU